UACGGGGGGAGCAAGCGUUGUUCGGAUUUACUGGGCGUAAAGGGCGCGUAGGCGGCCACUGCAAGUCGGUUGUGAAAUCUCCGGGCUUAACCCGGAAAGGUCAAUCGAUACUGCAGGGCUAGAGUGCAGAAGGGGCAACUGGAAUUCUCGGUGUAGCGGUGAAAUGCGUAGAUAUCGAGAGGAACACCUGCGGCGAAGGCGGGUUGCUGGGCUGACACUGACGCUGAAGCGCGAAAGCGUGGGGAGCAAACAGG
rnacentral:rRNA from 1 species